AUGACAAAAAAAAUGCAGAGGCAUAGACAAGGAAAUUUGCUGAUUUUUAUGUUUUUUGUUAUUUUUUCAUAUGGCGUGGAAAUCCGUGGUCCUUUGAGAAAAGCGAGAGCCAGCUAUUCAAUACCAAAAGACAGGACACAAGACACUGGAAAAAGAGAUACAGGAGACUUCCCUGGAGUAACUGUUCAUGUCUCCCUCAUGCCAGUGGCCUUUCUCAUCAGAUGUCUGAAGGAGACAGAUUCUGAGGAUCAGUGUCCUGUUGACUGAUGGAGCUUCUACUCCAGGUUCAAGGGCAGCGGUCCUCAGGAGACCCCAGCACUUAACAUCUUCAGUUGGAUAUGACACAUGACUCAAGUGAGUUCAUAGAUCUGAUAAAAGCAUAUUGUGGGAUAUCUCUGUAAGGUUCACA
rnacentral:lncRNA from 1 species